UAUUACUAGUAGUACAUACAAGUAUGUACUACUGGUAUUAGUAUUAGUAGUGCUACAACUACUAGUAUGUACUAGUUGUACUAGUAUUAU
rnacentral:tRNA from 1 species